rnacentral:tRNA from 1 species
ACCUGUCUAGCUCAGUUGGUAGAGCGACAGACUCUUAAUCUGUUUGUCGUGGGUUCGAAUCCCUCGGCGGGUA